rnacentral:rRNA from 1 species
CUCGUAGGUGGUUUUGUAAGUUGGAGGUGAAAUCCCCGGGCUCAACCUGGGAACUGCCUCCAAAACUGCAUGACUAGAGUACGGUAGAGGGUAGUGGAAUUUCCUGUGUAGCGGUGAAAUGCGUAGAUAUAGGAAGGAACACCAGUGGCGAAGGCGACUACCUGGACUGAUACUGACACUGAGGUGCGAAAGCGUGGGGAGGCAAAACA